GCUGAAGAAACGUUCCUGUCUAAAUUACACAGUGGCAGAAUGGCAAGAACAGGAAAUUUACUGCUGAAACUAUCUUUAGGGAAUGUAAACAAACUGGAAAGCCACAAGUGUUGGAUUUCAAGGAAGCACAGUGAACACGAAGGGUAAAUCGCAUAGGACUGCAUUAAAGGAGCUGCUAGACGGAGCUGCUCAGGGAGUCUCAUCUUCAGCAGUUGGCAGGGAUGCCCAUGGAGCUUAGCGGAGGUCUCCUGCCUGGCAGCACUGAAACCCGAUAAUGACAACACAGUGAAAUGUGGGACUGGCCAGCGCUGAACUUGAGUGGCGUUGAGAUGCAAAGGCCCAAGAUAUUGGAUCCCAAGGUGCAAACACAAGAUAAUCUGCUUUUUUGUUUUUACAAGCUUUACGAGAGAAGGAUUUCCUGGAUUUACGGGCAAGGAUGCUUCACGGCAUUGGGAAUGGGAGCCAAACACCUGCGACACACAGCAACAGGAAGUAGCAGCAGGAUCAUCUUUUGUGUGAACCAGCCUUCAAUUCUGGGUCCUAUUUAUAUCCAAACUAUAUACUGUUGUAUAGUCUUAUCCUUCUGAAACGAGACCCUGACAGGAUAAUAAGAGAAAACAUGCUGUGUGUUCCUUUGGGGUUGUUUUCACACACACACACACACACACAACACAGUAGAAACCAGACAGUACGAAAGCAGACAGAAAUAUACAGCAUUUGGUAAAAGCACGUGAAUUAUUUCUAGAGGCCUCAGCGUUGGGUGGUCAUGGUACACAAUGGACAGUGGUAGCACUAAAAGAUAUUCGUACAUAUAUUUUAACAUAUAUUGGAGCGGUCUGUGCUAGAAAGAAACAACCAAGAAAAAACAUUCUUUUUAGUUUAAAAAAUGAAAGAAAGUAUACCAGGUGUUUAAUAUUUACAAUUUCUUACAGUCUUCAAAUGGGUUGCUCCCAUUGAAACAGUAAAAACUAAAAUUGGUAAGUAAGUUAAUAGUACGUCUGCAUCUUUUUACUAAAAAAAAUAUUUAGAAUAUGUUCCCAUUUAUCUGUUAUGGCAGAACCUCAGAAGAAAUAAGAAUAAUUCUUAUACCAUAAUGCUGUAUGUAGGUUAAAUUGGACAUACUGUACCAGUAGUCGCUUUGCAUACAACACACAAAUAUUUAUUUUAAAGAAAUUGUUACGUAAUGUUUGUUUCUCUAAUGAAAAUGUUGAGUUUUGUAUUGGUUUUGCAACAACAACAACAAAAACUAUUAUUUCCUGUUUUGAGUUCAUGGCAACCGGCAUUGAGUUAAAAGACUCUCACCUAUUUAAAAACAGAAGAAACUGAAAAAGAAGCGCUGUGCCUUGUGUAUGUAUAUGACAAAGAACAUCCUGCUUUUCUUAAUGAUCUGAAAUGUAUUGUGACCCAGAAGCUGUCAGGAAUGAAAUACUGCUGUUACUUUUGGGAGUUUUAAUGAUGCGGGAGAGAGUGGGAAGUUGUGGUCUUGUUUCCUAUGGAGGCAUGCUGUAAACAGUGCAUGUACUGGCUGUGACCCUGUGGCAUUAGCUGCGUGGGUGACGUUGGAACACAAAAGUCCGUAAAAAAAAAAGAUUAAAGCUGAAAUACUUUGCUAUUUAAAGAUAUGCAUCUGGGCAUGUAUUUAUUUUUGUGUUACAAUUUUUGUAGGUACCUGUGAACAGGUACCUACAAGUCCAUUUGCCAUCGAUUCAUUGAAAGACACAACAUUACAAAAGCUAUCGUCACGUGCGAUUGGUUGUGUAAGUUUCUGCCAUUGCUGUACAGUACUUCAGGAAUCUGGGGUGGCUCAAUCUAUAUGCAACCAGAUUCUUUGCUUUCCACACCUCUCCUCCCCAUUCCCAGGACCAAGAGGACAGUGCAAGGCUGUGCCUCUCCCAGCUUUGUUUUAUGAGGUAGUGAUCAGGUGCCCUGAACACCAAGUGAACCAGAACCCCCCACAUCUGGCUGCAGCUCCACGCUUGUUUGCAUUUGUCUUGCUUGCUGUCGACCACCCUGCCUUCGUAGAGACACUGGGCUUCUCCACGCUUAGGUGGCAACGUCCAUAGGCCUCCUCUUUUAAAAAGGUAUGACUGCUAAUGUACUAAUUACUCAUUUGAUAUUGAUAACACCGGUAUCACAAUGCUAACCUAAGUGGGUUAUUUAAUAUUAUGGUACUUCAUGAUCUUAUUCUGGCUCUUUCAGAUAUAGAUAGGUAUCUUCUAAUGACCUUUGACAGUGUUCUAAAACCGGCAUCCUAAAAUGUAUAAACCUGAUUUUGAGGACUUCAAACACACUUUGUAUUGUAGUGUAUGUUGUAAUGUUAAUAAGCAGGGUCGGUCCAUAAAUCAGGAGGAAAACCCAGUACCCCCAAACUUAUUUUGUAACAAUCUAACUUUUGUCAUGUUGAGCUCCAUUUUUGUGUGUUCGUUUUUAUAUAGCUCUUUCUGUUAUUAGAUUAUUGUUAGAUUUGCUGUUUUUAUUUGUUCAACGCACACAAACAAAACUGAUGGAAAUGGUAUGGUGUUGUACAGUAUUUCUCUAAACCUCUGCAUGUUCUACCCAAGGCUGUGUAACUGUCUAAAGCUAAGCAGUAAAUUAUUACUUUAUACAUGGAAGCAGCCCCCUCAAAACACAUCCAUAUUCUAAGAUAAUUGGUUAUUACUAAUACUGUUUUACUAUUUUUGAAGUGUGUCUCUUACAAUAACCUACGGACUGAAAAAGAGUUUAAUGAUAACAUCUCAUGGAAGCUUAGCACCCUCUAGUGGUUUUAAUGGAUUUUAAAUCUUGACACGACAGCUGUAAAAUGAUGGGCUAAUUUACAGCUGUUAUUUAGGAGUUGAUUUAAAAGAAUUUUAGUUUUUAAUUAAUAACGUUUUAUGUUCAUAACUGUGCUAGACUGUUUAAUUACAAUAUUCAACUAUUUUGUUCCAAAAAAAAACUAUAUUCAGAAAAAAAAACAUUUAAUAACUCACAAAGCAAGUCUACAAAAUGUGUAAAUAUUUAAUUCUACCAACCUUUCUAAAUAAU